UCCUGACUUAGGCACAGAUCAGUGCCCUGCUUUUUGCUGAAGAGAACUAGUGAGGUCGAAAAUUGAACCUGCACUGUGACUUUGCAACCUGUAGCCUUGAACGUUCAGUCGGACAUUUGGACUCAUCAGUCCUGAGGACAUAAGAGAUGAAAGAUUAUUCCAGGCUAAUUUCCUGGUGAGGAAACAAGCAUGUUUACUCAGAAGACUUUAACUUCCUGAAGACAAUGGAGGAAAACAGUAGCAACAACCAGGACAAAAGCCCCGUAACAUUUAUGCAGGGUUAUUGUCUAUGCUGAAAUAUGUUGUUUUCUGACCUGAAUGGAAAAAAUUGAAUUUGUCUGGAUUUUCUACAAUAUAAAUUUGAGGCAUAGGAAUAAUUUCAUUACUUUCGAACCUAAGUCACUUUCACACUUAAUUCUUCAUAAAAAUGUUUUCCGGCAUAUGAAAAGAAUUAGAAUUUCUUAUGUUUGGACUGUCUUACAGUAAAGAGGUGGAAAAUAGAAUUAACUGCAA